UACGGAGGGAGCUAGCGUUGUUCGGAUCUACUGGGCGUAAAGCGCACGUAGGCGGCGUCGUAAGUCAGGGGUGAAAUCCCGGAGCUCAACUCCGGAACUGCCCUUGAAACUGCAAUGCUAGAAUCUUGGAGAGGCGAGUGGAAUUCCGAGUGUAGAGGUGAAAUUCGUAGAUAUGCGGAGGAAUACCAGUGGCGAAGGCGACUUCCUGGACCUUAACUGACGCUGAAGCGCGAAAGCAUGGGGAGCGAACGGG
rnacentral:rRNA from 1 species